GUUUUCUCUCCUCGCAAGUUAGUUAGCUAACAUACGCUGUUUUCUAAAAUAAGGAAGAAGAACUGCAAAUCGCUAAACAAUAAACGCCAAUCUGAAGAGGAGUAAAAUGUGUUGACAACGACGAGAGGCUUGACGCUAAAUGAAGGAAUGGCUGAUGGAGGGGCUGUUUCAAUGAUAGAAGAAGGGGUGGAGGAAGAAAUAAGACAAGAGCAAGAGAUCGAAGAAACUGUUGAAGAAGACAUCGGAAAGGAUUUUAAAUUGGGUGUUGAAGAAACAAUGAAUCAGGAAAGGGGAGAGGUGAAAGAGCAGAAAAGAUGGGUUGACUUAGUGGCACAAAAUAGAUCGAGGAUCCCAGAAUGCGAACUAAAAAACGUCCUGCCAGUGAUAAUAGAAGGGAGAAGAGUGGUCCGAUUUCAUUCAAACGAAUUGAAGACGAAGGUACAAUGAUGGCGAAAUUCGUUAAUUGGAAGUGUUUAUAGGGCUAACCCGCGUAUAUAAUGGAUUGAAAAUUUUCCCAUGAAUAGGUGGAAAAGGUAUGGGCUCUUAUCAAUACACUUGAUUAAAGAAAAUUUAUUUCUCUUUGGUUUUGAUUCUGAUGAUGGAAAAGCUACAGCUCUAGAGGAGGGACCAUACUCAUUUGAUAGAAGACCAUUAAUUUUGAUGCCAUUUUAACCUAGACUUAAAUUGGAUUUAGAUUUGGUAUAAAAACUGUCUAUUUGGGUGCAAUUUCCUACUCUACCAUGGAAAUUCUGGUCUUGUGAGUUCCUGAGUAGAUUGGGUAGUACCUUAGGCAAACCUCUGUUCAUUGAUAGAUGCACCAUUUUCAAAAACUAGAUUGGGUUAUGCUAGGGUCCUGAUAGAAAUGGAUCUACAUGGUAAUUUUUCGGAAGAGGUUAUAGUGGAAGAUGAGGACGGGCAACAGUGUUUUUUUCAGAAAGUGGCUUAUGAAUGGAAACCUGUAAAAAGCAAAUCCUGUAAUAAAAUUGGCCAUGUUACUGCAAAGUGUAGAAAUUGGACUUGAGGCAAUUGUGGCAAGAAAAAAAAGUAAGGAGAGACUAACUCAAAGAGAUAAUGAAGAGAAAAGGGGUGAAUCUAGUACUAAAAAUGGAGCAACAAUUGAUGAAAAUGUGUCAUCUGAACGGGUGAACUGGACAAAAAAGAUAAGGAGUAAAGGUAAAGAUAAAAUAGAUUUUGGGGCUAUUGUGAAAGCAAACAAUACUACAAGAAAAGGCAAAAAAUAACAGCAAAAUGUACCAGUCAAAUUAUAGAAAAAUGAUCGCUAAAGUAAAUCACCGAUUGUUUACCGACUAUUUGAAAUACCAAUGAUUAAAUUACCAACAAAAAUUCGUAGUUAUAUUUCCAUUUUCUUAUAGUGUAUAAGAAUCUGAAUGUAAACAUGCCUAGCUCUUCCAAAAUGAGCUAUAGAACUGUUGGUGAUGGAAAGUUGAUCAGUAAAGAAAGACAACCCCCUGAUAGGGGAAAAUGAUCGGCACCUGGAAUUUUAGGGGUCUCAACGACCCAAAUAAACAAUUAGAGGUACAUGAUCUGAUUGGUAAACACAAGCUCAAAGCUUUAGGGAUUAUUGAAACUAGUGUUAGGCAAGAAAAUCAAGAAAAAGUUAUGAAAGGGUUGAGAUUACCAGGUUGGCAGUGCUUAUCAAAUUAUCAACAUGCAGAUUUUGGAAGAAUUUGGAUUGUGUACAAUCCAUAAUACACUCAGAUUCAAAUAGAAAUUGUUAAUGAACAGAUUAUGAACUGCUUGAUGGAAUUUGAGGGGCAUAAGUUCUUUUGGUCAAUUGUGUAUGGUUGUAAUAUAGGUCAGGAAAGAAGAAGACUUUGGGAGGCAAUUCUACAGAUUGUAGAGGGAAUGGAAAAUCCUUGGAUAGUUCAAGGGGAUUUCAAUGCUAUUCUAUCAAAUCAAGAGAGAAGUGGUGAUGCUGAAGUUGAUAGUUCAAGUGAGGACUUUAAAGAGUGUAUAAUGAGUGCUGCACUAUCUGAGAUGAGAACUAGAGGAUGCUACUUCACAUGGACCAACAAUCAACUAGGGCCAGCCAGGAUUUGGCAAAAAUUGGAUAGAUGCCUUGUUAACAUGGCAUGGUUGGAUAUUUAUAGUAGCUAAAUGGGAAACUGUGGCUGUGGGUAUUUCAAAUCACUCUCUGUUGAUUGUUAGUAUCAGAAGAGACAGAGAGUUUAGAAAUGUGCCUUUCAGAUUUUUCAAUAUGUGGAACUCGCACCCCAGAUACAAUAAGAUAUGGCUAGCCCAUUUGAUAUCUUCGUAUUCGAGAAUCAACAAAUUCGACUCCGCAUUGUUCACAAAAUUUUUGGUCUUCUUUUUCAUUCCUGAUUACUCGAUAAUUUCCACACGCACAAAUUCCACUUUUUAUUGGCCCAAAAAUUCUUUCACAAAAUAAUCCAUCCUUUUCAGGUUUAUUGGUUUUGUAAUGAAAAGUAUAGGGUUUUGUCACCUCUCCAACAAUCUCUCCGUUAGGUAGGAUUUUUUU
rnacentral:lncRNA from 1 species